AUAUCAAUAAGCGGAGGAAAAGAAACCAACAGGGAUUGCCUCAGUAACGGCGAGUGAAGCGGCAACAGCUCAAAUUUGAAAUCUGGCUCUUUUAGGGUCCGAGUUGUAAUUUGUAGAGGAUGCUUCGGCGUCGGCUCCGGUCUAAGUUCCUUGGAACAGGACGUCAUAGAGGGUGAGAAUCCCGUAUGUGAUCGGUUGCCCUUGCCAUGUGAAGCUCCUUCGACGAGUCGAGUUGUUUGGGAAUGCAGCUCUAAAUGGGAGGUAAAUUUCUUCUAAAGCUAAAUACUGGCCAGAGACCGAUAGCGCACAAGUAGAGUGAUCGAAAGAUGAAAAGCACUUUGGAAAGAGAGUCAAAAAGUACGUGAAAUUGUUGAAAGGGAAGCGCUUGCAACCAGACCUGCCUGCAGUUGCUCAUCCGGGCUUUUGCCCGGUGCACUCUUCUGCUGUCAGGCCAGCAUCAGUCCGGGCGGUCGGAUAAAGGCUUCGGGAAUGUAGCUCCUCUCGAGGAGUGUUAUAGCCCGUUGCGAAAUGCGGCCAGCCUGAACUGAGGUCCGCGCUUCGGCUAGGAUGCUGGCGUAAUGGUUGUAAGCGG
rnacentral:rRNA from 1 species